rnacentral:rRNA from 1 species
CCUACGGGGGGCAGCAGUGGGGAAUAUUGGGCAAUGGGGGCAACCCUGAUCCAGCCAUGCCGCGUGUGUGAAGAAGGCCCUCGGGUUGUAAAGCACUUUCAGUGAGGAAGAACGCCUGGUGGUUAAUACCCAUCAGGAAAGACAUCACUCACAGAAGAAGCACCGGCUAACUCCGUGCCAGCAGCCGCGGUAAUACGGAGGGUGCGAGCGUUAAUCGGAAUUACUGGGCGUAAAGCGCGCGUAGGUGGCUUGAUAAGCCGGUUGUGAAAGCCCCGGGCUCAACCUGGGAACGGCAUCCGGAACUGUCAAGCUAGAGUGCAGGAGAGGAAGGUAGAAUUCCCGGUGUAGCGGUGAAAUGCGUAGAGAUCGGGAGGAAUACCAGUGGCGAAGGCGGCCUUCUGGACUGACACUGACACUGAGGUGCGAAAGCGUGGGUAGCAAACAGGAUUAGAUACCCGUGUAGUC